AACGAACGCUGGCGGCAGGCUUAACACAUGCAAGUCGAGCGCCCCGCAAGGGGAGCGGCAGACGGGUGAGUAACACGUGGGAACGUGCCGUUAGGUUCGGAAUAACUCAGGGAAACUUGUGCUAAUACCGAAGGUGCCCUUCGGGGGAAAGAUUUAUCGCCUUUAGAGCGGCCCGCGUCUGAUCAGCUAGUUGGUUAGGUAAAGGCUCACCAAGGCGACGAUCAGUAGCCGGUCUGAGAGGAUGAUCAGCCACAUUGGGACUGAGACACGGCCCAAACUCCUACGGGAGGCAGCAGUGGGGAAUCUUGCGCAAUGGGCGAAAGCCUGACGCAGCCAUGCCGCGUGAAUGAUGAAGGUAUUAGGAUUGUAAAAUUCUUUCACCGGGGACGAUAAUGACGGUACCCGGAGAAGAAGCCCCGGCUAACUUCGUGCCAGCCGCCGCUGUAAGAC
rnacentral:rRNA from 1 species